ensembl:lncRNA
CCAGCACAGAAUGCUGAGUUUGUGAGAUGCAGCAAAGUUAAGGAGGGAUGCAAUUGCUCAGUUGGAGGUGAAAAGGAAAACUCAGCUCUAACAAGACAAGCUACAGACAAGGAUGGUGGGCUGUGCUGGGAAAAUCUGUGACUGAGGAGCAGAAGGAGGAAACUCACUGACAGCAUCAAAGGACCAUUGUACCCCAACUGCAAAGAAACUUGCCUGUCAGGGAUAACACAGGAGAACGUGAGCUGAAGGCUCCCUAUGGCAGAGAAGGGAAAAUUAAAUGAAGGUCUCCUUGAUCCUGAGGACAUCAGCUCAGUGAGCAUUGAUGGGAACACCAUGCUGUUUGUGAUUCUCCACCCCUAGUCAAAAAAGACUUGUUCUCAGCACAGCUUUUGAAAGAACCUGGCACCUUUGCAUUCUGGACAAUGGAUGGAGGUAACAAGACGGAGCAUAAGCACUAGCUUCUGUCAGGAGCAGAUUGCUGGAGCUGAUGCUGGCUGCUAAUUCAAGUUGCACUUCUGCUGUGCAACUGUAAGGUGAAGGAGACAUUGUGAAGAAACCGAAAAGAUGGGUAAAAGACACAGAAAUAUUUCCCUCUGAGAAGCUGCUUAGAGCAAGUGCGUUCCUUUGAGGAAUCCUUUGUAUCCCUCCCACCCUGCUAAGGUGCCUUAGUUCAGUCACCAGAAAGACAAUAUCCCAGGUGGCCCAUUAGCAAAAAAAAAAAAAAAAAAAAGAAUUGCAAAAGCGUACACAGAAGGAAAUAGAAUCCCACUGGCCCUUUUUUUGUGCUUUGCUCAAGAUUCACAUCAAAGGGAGUUUUGCUGUAAAAAUGUAUUUCUUGUUUCUAUGGAACCUUCUUUGUGAGAAUGCUAAUGUUCUUUCUGUAGCAAGGAAACAUUUUCUUUAAAGCUUUGGCCAAUGAUCCAAUGUUUCCAACUCUAUUCCAAUAAGGUUAGUUCUUCUGAAGUCUAAAGUGCACAAACAAGAUAGAUUGUAGAAGGCUUUCUAAGAGCAGGCUCAUUUCACUGGAGUCACAAGCAAUAUUUUUUAUCCAUAUUUCUAGCAGCAAAAGGCUCUGGUAUGGUAAUUUUUACAUCCUUUACUUUUCUCUUCUCCUUCUUUUGUAUUCACUUCAAUUUAUUUAAAACAAGGGAUGUGCAGCCAUGUAUUUCCUCCUGGAGUGCCAAAAAGCACACAUACUGCACCCACCAGAGAGAUGUGAGACUGAUGGCUUAGGAUACACACACACAGGUCUGCUGGAUCAGGAACAGCAGCUGAGAAGAGAACUGGUCUAGAGAGGAGCAGUCAGACUGCUCUUGGAAGGUGGAUUGCUGGAUGAGGUUUGCUAUUACCACCUUUUUUAUUGCAUCCCUGCCUUAUAGAAGGCGCCCACAGCUGUCAUGGACCCCCUUGUAGUCAGCUGAAUAAGCACAGUUUCCAGUUUUAAAUGUGAUUCCUUUCAUAGCUUUCGAUUUUCCUGUCACCUCAGAAUUAAUAUUUUGGUAAUACUUCCACAUGCUGUCUUCCAGGGGCUCAUACCCAUUUAUUUUUUUCAAAAGCUGCUGAAACAAACUGAAACUCUAACAGAUCUUUGUUUCCCUGCUACCUAGGCUACUCUUGAAAGCUUUAAGCUGUAAGACGUUACAUUAAAAACAAAAUCAACGUUUAUAUGUGCCAUUUUAACCCCAAAAAAUUGUCUUGAAGUUGCAAGUUUUGACAUUCGUCCUGCUCAGAGCAGCAAGAUUACAGCAGAAUUGGUCCUAUGGUCUGUGUAAGCAUCAUAAUCAGAGGGCAACUCUUCCCAGUUCAGUCACAGUUAUGGUGCAGAAAAUUCCAUCUCGAGUAAGGAAGAGAAUAUUGAAGAAAAUAUUUAAAUUUCAUAAUACUUAAUGUAACACAGAAUUAUCCCAGAAUGCACAUCUGAGACAGCAUAAUCUGGGAAUUAGCUGGAGAGACAAUAGCAGUAAAUAUUCUUUCAUUCAAAAAGCCGAGUACUCAAACCACACAAAAGGCACUAAGAAAGUGCUACAGAAGAUAAAGUGAACAAACUGCUGGCCAUGUAAUUAUUCUCCCAGCAGGCUCAUCAAACAAUUCCCAGCAUGCCCUCCUACCUCUUCUGGGGAUGUUUUGACUAAAUCUAACAGAAUAAUAGCUGCAGUCACUUCCUUACACACUCACUUGCGAAACAAAUUGGAUGCAAUGUCAAGUCCUUGAAGGAACUGAUGAUUCUCAUCAGCAGUAUUUGACUGUCAGAUGCAAACCACCUGGCAGAGAUGCAAACCUUUUACAGGCAAUUGGAAAAAAACAUCUCUUUUUUUUCCUAGACUGAGAAAGCCUCAGGGAGGAAAAGUGCUGAAAUGUGCAUAUUUUGUAUGUGAUUUUUUUUUUU